rnacentral:rRNA from 1 species
AGCGAACGCUGGCGGCAGGCCUAACACAUGCAAGUCGAACGAACCUUUCGGGGUUGGUGGCGGACGGGUGAGUAACACGUGGGAACGUGCCUUUAGGUUCGGAAUAACUCAGGGAAACUUGUGCUAAUACCGAAUGUGCCCUUCGGGGGAAAGAUUAAUCGCCUUUAGAGCGGCCCGCGUCUGAUUAGCUAGUUGGUUGAGGUAAUGGCUCACCAAGGCGACGAUCAGUAGCUGGUCUGAGAGGAUGAUCAGCCACAUUGGGACUGAGACACGGCCCAAACUCCUACGGGAGGCAGCAGUGGGGAAUCUUGCGCAAUGGGCGAAAGCCUGACGCAGCCAUGCCGCGUGAAUGAUGAAGGUCUUAGGAUUGUAAAAUUCUUUCACCGGGGACGAUAAUGACGGUACCCGGAGAAGAAGCCCCGGCUAACUUCGUG